rnacentral:rRNA from 1 species
AUACGGAGGGUGCAAGCGUUACUCGGAAUCACUGGGCGUAAAGCGCGCGCAGGCGGCCAUUUAAGUUGGAUGUGAAAGCCUACGGCUCAACCGUAGAACUGCAUCCAAAACUAUUUGGCUAGAGUGUGGGAGAGGAAGAUGGAAUUAGUUGUGUAGGGGUAAAAUCCGUAGAGAUAACUAGGAAUACCAAAAGCGAAGGCAAUCUUCUGGAACAUUACUGACGCUGAGGCGCGAAAGCGUGGGAAGCAAACAGGAUUAGAAACCCUAGUAGUCC